rnacentral:rRNA from 1 species
UUGAACGCUGGCGGCAUGCUUUACACAUGCAAGUCGAACGGUAACAGGGAGCUUGCUCCGCUGACGAGUGGCGAACGGGUGAGUAAUGCAUCGGAACGUGCCGUGUAAUGGGGGAUAACGUAGCGAAAGUUACGCUAAUACCGCAUACGCCCUGAGGGGAAAGUGGGGGACCGCAAGACCUUGCGCUAUACGAGCGGCCGAUGUCAGAUUAGCUAGUUGGUAGGGUAAAGGCCUACCAAGGCGACGAUCUGUAGCGGGUCUGAGAGGAUGAUCCGCCACACUGGGACUGAGACACGGCCCAGACUCCUACGGGAGGCAGCAGUGGGGAAUUUUGGACAAUGGGCGAAAGCCUGAUCCAGCCAUGCCGCGUGAGUGAAGAAGGCCUUCGGGUUGUAAAGCUCUUUCGGCUGGGAAGAAAUCGCACAGGCUAAUACUCUGUGUGGAUGACGGUACCAGCACAAGAAGCACCGGCUAACUACGUG